GUCCGCAACUGUGUUCUCCCUGCUGGGUGGAAGCUCGGCCUUCCUGUCGCACCACCGCCUGAAAGGCAGGUUUCAGAGGGACCGCAGGAACAUCCGCCCCAACAUCAUCCUGGUGCUGACGGACGACCAGGAUGUGGAGCUGGCUUUCUUCGGGAAGUAUCUUAAUGAAUACAACGGCUCCUACGUGCCGCCCGGCUGGAAGGAGUGGGUCGGACUCCUUAAAAACUCCCGCUUUUAUAACUACACGCUGUGUCGGAACGGGGUGAAAGAGAAGCACGGCUCCGACUACUCCAAGCACGCCGAGCUACAACUACGCGCCCAACCCGGACAAACACUGGAUCAUGCGCUACACGGGGCCCAUGA
rnacentral:sRNA from 1 species